UCAGUUGCCACCAGCAGCAAGAGUGUCAAACACAGCAAUGACACCGAUGGAUACAGAGGAGAAUACUGGACAGAGUUCAAUAGACACUCCUGCAGAACCGCCUGCAGAAAAUCCUAUAGACGCUGUUGUAGAACUGGAAGCGCCCUCUAUCGAACUACCUGUCAACUGAUUUCAUUUUAUAUUCAUUGUUACAAUAUAGAAUAAAUUUAAUUAAUAAAAAAUUAUGGACUAAAUAAAUAUGACUCAAUUAAGCAGAAUAGUUAAUUGUGGUAAACUUAAGUAUAAAAUAAAUAAAUAUUAAA